UUUAAAGAGAGUUUGAUCCUGGCUCAGGACGAACGCUGGCGGCGUGCCUAAUACAUGCAAGUCGAACGAACGGAGGAAGAGCUUGCUCUUCCAAAGUUAGUGGCGGACGGGUGAGUAACACGUGGGCAACCUGCCUGUAAGUUGGGGAUAACUCCGGGAAACCGGGGCUAAUACCGAAUGAUAAAGUGUGGCGCAUGCCACGCUUUUGAAAGAUGGUUUCGGCUAUCGCUUACAGAUGGGCCCGCGGUGCAUUAGCUAGUUGGUAGGGUAAUGGCCUACCAAGGCAACGAUGCAUAGCCGACCUGAGAGGGUGAUCGGCCACACUGGGACUGAGACACGGCCCAGACUCCUACGGGA
rnacentral:rRNA from 1 species